GACGAACGCUGGCGGCGUGCCUAAUACAUGCAAGUCGAACGCACUCUCGUUUAGAUUGAAGGAGCUUGCUCCUGAUUGAUAAACAUUUGAGUGAGUGGCGGACGGGUGAGUAACACGUGGGUAACCUGCCCUAAAGUGGGGGAUAACAUUUGGAAACAGAUGCUAAAUACCGCAUAAAACCUAAACACCGCAUGGUGUAGGGUUGAAAGAUGGUUUCGGCUAUCACUUUAGGAUGGACCCGCGGUGCAUUAGUUAGUGGUGAGGUAAAGGCUCACCAAGACCGUGAUGCAUAGCCGACCUGAGAGGGUAAUCGGCCACACUGGGACUGAGACACGGCCCAGACUCCUACGGGAGGCAGCAGUAGGGAAUCUUCCACAAUGGACGAAAGUCUGAUGGAGCAACGCCGCGUGAGUGAAGAAGGUUUUCGGAGUUCGUAAAAACUCUGUUGUUGGAGAAGAAUGAUCUGAUAGUAACUGAUCAGGUAGUGACGGUAUCCAACCAGAAA
rnacentral:rRNA from 1 species